UACGUAGGGGGCAAGCGUUGUCCGGAUUCAUUGGGCGUAAAGAGCGUGUAGGCGGCCAGGUAGGUCGGUUGUGAAAACUGGAGGCUCAACCUCGAGACGUCGAUGGAAACCAUCUAGCUAGAGUCCGGAAGAGGAGAGUGGAAUUCACGGUGUAGCAGUGAAAUGCGUAGAGAUCGUGAGGAAGACCAGUGGCGAAGGCGGGUCUCUGGACAGUUCCUGACACUGAGGCACGAAGGCCAGGGGAGCAAACGGG
rnacentral:rRNA from 1 species